rnacentral:rRNA from 1 species
AUUGAACGCUGGCGGCAGGCCUAAUACAUGCAAGUCGAACGAGUGGCGGACGGGUGAGUAAUGUCUGGGAAAUUGCCUUAUGGAGGGGGAUAACUACUGGAAACGGUAGUUAAUACCGCAUACCAUCAGAUGUGCCCAGAUGGGAUUAGCUGGUUGGUGGGGUAACGGCUCACCAAGGCAACGAUCCAUAGCUGGUCUGAGAGGAUGACCGGCCACACUGGAACUGAGACACGGUCCAGACUCCUACGGGAGGCAGCAGUGGGGAAUAUUGCACAAUGGGCGCAAGCCUGAUGCAGCAAUGCCGCGUGAGUGAAGAAGGCCUUCGGAUUGUAAAGUACUUUCAGCAGGGAGGCGUUACCCGCAGAAGAAGCACCGGCUAACUCCGUGCCAGCAGCCGCGGUAAUAC